rnacentral:rRNA from 1 species
UACGUAGGGCGCAAGCGUUGUCCGGAAUUAUUGGGCGUAAAGAGCUUGUAGGCGGUUUGUCGCGUCUGCUGUGAAAAUCCGGGGCUCAACUCCGGACUUGCAGUGGAUACGGGCUAGCUAGAGUGUGGUAGGGGAGAUCGGAAUUCCUGGUGUAGCGGUGAAAUGCGCAGAUAUCAGGAGGAACACCGGUGGCGAAGGCGGAUCUCUGGGCCAUUACUGACGCUGAGGAGCGAAAGCGUGGGGAGCGAACAGG